rnacentral:rRNA from 1 species
AUUGAACGCUGGCGGCAGGCCUAACACAUGCAAGUCGAACGAGUGGCGGACGGGUGAGUAAUGUCUGGGAAACUGCCUGAUGGAGGGGGAUAACUCCUGGAAACGGUAGCUAAUACCGCAUACCAUCAGAUGUGCCCAGAUGGGUUUAGCUAGUCGGUGGGGUAAAGGCUCACCAAGGCGACUAUCCCUAGCUGGUCUGAGAGGAUGACCAGCAACACUGGAACUGAGACACGGUCCAGACUCCUACGUGAGGCAGCAGUGGGGAAUAUUGCACAAUGGGCGCAAGCCUGAUGCAGCCAUGCCGCGUGUAGGAAGAAGGCCUUCGGGUUGUAAAGUACUUGCAGCGGGGAGGCGGUACCCGCAGAAGAAGCACCGGCUAACUCCGUGCCAGCAGCCGCGGUAAUUC